AAUGAACGCUGGCGGCGUGCUUAACACAUGCAAGUCGAACGAGAAAGGGAUUGCUUGCAAUCCUGAGUAGAGUGGCGCACGGGUGAGUAACACGCAGAUAAUCUACCUUCAAGCCUGGGAUAACUAUUCGAAAGGAUAGCUAAUACCGGAUGAAGUGAUUUACCAUAAGGUAAAGCAUGAAAGAUUGCCUCUUCCUGAAAGCAAUUGUUUGGAGAUGAGUUUGCGGACCAUUAGUUUGUUGGUGGGGUAAAGGCCUACCAAGACUACGAUGGUUAGCUGGUCUGAGAGGAUGAUCAGCCACACUGGAACUGGUACACGGUCCAGACUCCUACGGGAGGCAGCAGUGAGGAAUUUUGCGCAAUGGGGGGAACCCUGACGCAGCAACGCCGCGUGAGUGAAGAAGGCCCUUGGGUCGUAAAGCUCUGUCGAUAGGGAAGAAAUUGCAGAUAUCUAAUAGGUGUCUGCAUUGACGGUACC
rnacentral:rRNA from 1 species